rnacentral:rRNA from 1 species
GACGGAGGGUGCUAGCGUUGUUCGGAAUGACUGGGCGUAAAGGGCGCGUAGGCGGCCGCUUGCGUCGGAUGUGAAAGCCCGGGGCUCAACCCCGGAACGGCAUCCGAUACGGGGCGGCUCGAGACCGAGAGAGGUGAGUGGAAUACCCAGUGUAGAGGUGAAAUUCGUAGAUAUUGGGUGGAACACCGGUGGCGAAAGCGGCUCACUGGCUCGGUUCUGACGCUGAGGCGCGAAAGCGUGGGGAGCAAACAGGAUUAGAUACCCUGGUAGUCCACGCCCUAAACGAUGUGGGCUGGGCGUCGGGGGGCUUGCCCCUCGGUGCCGGAGCUAACGCGGUAAGCCCACCGCCUGGGGAGUACGGCCGCAAGGUUAAA